UCUACCACCUACAGGUAUAGCAUGUAUUUCUUUUGUGCCACAAAAGAAAUGUGUGAGUAGGUGGCACAGAAGAGAAAGGAUAUGUCUCUAAUCAGUAUUCUGACCUAUAAACAUCUGAAUAAUUAGUAGUCUAGCAUU
ensembl:snoRNA LOC120102696 small nucleolar RNA SNORA17